AACAGCUCAAAUUUGAAAUCUGGCCCCCUGCGGGGUCCGAGUUGUAAUUUGCAGAGGGUGUUUCGGGCGCGGGGCCGGUCUAAGUCCCUUGGAACAGGGCGUCAUAGAGGGUGAGAAUCCCGUCUGCGACUCGGCCGCCAAGCCCAUGUGAAACCCCUUCGACGAGUCGAGUUGUUUGGGAAUGCAGCUCCAAAUGGGUGGUAAAUUUCAUCUAAAGCUAAAUACCGGCCAGAGACCGAUAGCGCACAAGUAGAGUGAUCGAAAGAUGAAAAGCACUUUGGAAAGAGAGUUAAACAGUACGUGAAAUUGUUGAAAGGGAAGCGCUGGCGACCAGACCUGUUGUCGGGUGAUCAUCCGUCAUUCGUGGCGGGGCACUCGCCCGGACGCAGGCCAGCAUCGGUUGCGGCGGCGGGACAACGCGCCCGGGAAUGUAGCUCCCUUCGGGGCGCCUUAUAGCCCGGGCGGGCAUGCCGCCCGCCGCGACCGAGGACCGCGCUUCGGCUAGGAUGCUGGCGUAAUGGUCGUCAGCGACCCGUCUUGAAACACGGACCAAGGAGUCUACCAUUCAUGCGAGUGUUGGGGUGUCAAACCCCGGCGCGGAAUGAAAGUGAACGGAGGUGAGACCCCGCAAGGGCGCAUCAUCGACCGAUCCAGAUGUCUUCGGAUGGAUUUGAGUACGAGCAUGGCUGGUGGGACCCGAAAGAUGAUGAACUAUGCCUGAAUAGGGUGAAGCCAGAGGAAACUCUGGUGGAGGCUCGCAGCGGUUCUGACGUGCAAAUCGAUCGUCAAAUUUGGGUAUAGGGGCGAAAGAC
rnacentral:rRNA from 1 species